UACGGAGGGUGCAAGCGUUAAUCGGAAUUACUGGGCGUAAAGGGCGCGCAGGCGGCCUUAGAAGUCAGAUGUGAAAGCCCCGGGCUCAACCUGGGAAUGGCAUUUGAUACUCUGAGGCUGGAGUACGGGAGAGGAGAGUGGAAUUCCCAGUGUAGAGGUGAAAUUCGUAGAUAUUGGGAAGAACACCGGUGGCGAAGGCGGCUCUCUGGACCGUAACCGACGCUGGGGCGCGAAAGCGUGGGGAGCAAACAGG
rnacentral:rRNA from 1 species